ACUCUAGUCCGACUUUGUGAAAUGACUUGAGAGGUGUAGGAUAAGUGUGAGCCCUUAUGGGCGCAAGUGAAAUACCACUACUUUUAACGUUAUUUUACUUAUUCCGUGGGUCGGAAGCGGGGCAUGUCCCCUCCUUUUGGCUCCAAGGCCCGGUUUUAUCGGGCCAAUACGGGCGGAAGACAUUCUCAGGUGGGGAGU
rnacentral:rRNA from 16 species